UGGCGAGAAGGGCUGUACAUGCAUGUUCAUCAGAGGCGUAUCUGGCACAAAAAUGGCUGCUUUUGUUUUCUUGUGCAUGUAUUACAAAAACAUCAAUUGUUCUUCUUAAUUUGCUUUAAGACAUACGAGGACAAUGCGGCACUGCAUUGAAGUUACUAAUCUCUGAGCCGUUUACGCCAUACGACUCCAAUCGUUUCAACUACUCAUAGUAGUGGAUUGCUUAACUUGAAGGGGGCUGUUACAAAUGUUACAUUUAUUUCAUACAGGCGGACCGUAUAGCAUCGGACUGUGCGCAAGAGUUGAGAGAGUAUAACGUGGCUUUCCUGUCCCUGUGGCCGGGCGCUACGCGGACAGAAAUCUUCACGGAAUGGGCAGAAAACUGUCAGCCUAAAACAUCACUUCAGUCGGCGUUUAAGGACAGAUAUGUGUCGAACUCAGAGAGUACAGAGUUCUCAGGGAGAGGCAUCGUUUCUCUGGCCGCAGACCCCGACAUCAUGAAGAAGACGGGAAGAAUUUUCACCACUGGAGACCUUGCAGAUGAGUACGGCUUUAAAGACAUUGAUGGCCGGUCUCCCCCAGACUAUGUCCGCCGGCUAAGAGACAGACUGUCGAUGCUAGGCUACUCCAUGCUGGCUGCCUGGAUACCAGCUUCUGUCAAGAUCCCCGGCUGGAUGCUUUCUGCAUACUACCACAUACUGUAACUCGUGUAGAAACAGUAACUGUACAUUACAGAUCUGGUCGGCAACGUUAGACCACAAUGACUCGAUGUUGUUGAUAUCAUCUUCUGUGUAAGACUGUACACCACAAACUGAUGUGAGCGCAAGCAAAAAGAGGAAAAACUAAUGGGUAAAAGAAUAUGUCUAUACUUGAACUACGUUCUGACGAAUGUUAAUAAUCUAAU